rnacentral:rRNA from 2 species
GUGGAACUUCCAUGUGUAGCGGUGGAAUGCGUAGAUAUAUGGAAGAACACCAGUGGCGAAGGCGGCUGUCUGGUCUGCAACUGACGCUGAGGCUCGAAAGCAUGGGUAGCGAACAGGAUUAGAUACCCUGGUAGUGCAUGCCGUAAACGAUGAGUGCUAGGUGUUGGAGGGUUUCCGCCCUUCAGUGCCGCAGCUAACGCAUUAAGCACUCCGCCUGGGGAGUACGACCGCAAGGUUGAAACUCAAAGGAAUUGACGGGGGCCCGCACAAGCGGUGGAGCAUGUGGUUUAAUUCGAAGCUACGCGAAGAACCUUACCAGGUCUUGACAUCUUGCGCCAACCCUAGAGAUAGGGCGUUUCCUUCGGGAACGCAAUGACAGGUGGUGCAUGGUCGUCGUCAGCUCGUGUCGUGAGAUGUUGGGUUAAGUCCCGCAACGAGCGCAACCCUUGUUACUAGUUGCCAGCAUUCAGUUGGGCACUCUAGUGAGACUGCCGGUGACAAACCGGAGGAAGGUGGGGACGACGUCAGAUCAUCAUGCCCCUUAUGACCUGGGCUACACACGUGCUACAAUGGACGGUACAACGAGUCGCGAACUCGCGAGGGCAAGCUAAUCUCUUAAAACCGUUCUCAGUUCGGACUGCAGGCUGCAACUCGCCUGCACGAAGUCGGAAUCGCUAGUAAUCGCGGAUCAGCAUGCCGCGGUGAAUACGUUCCCGGGCCUUGUACACACCGCCCGUCACACCAUGAGAGUUUGCAACACCCAAAGUCGGUGGGGUAACCCUUCGGGGAGCUAGC